AACGAACGCUGGCGGCAGGCUUAACACAUGCAAGUCGAACGCCCCGCAAGGGGAGUGGCAGACGGGUGAGUAACGCGUGGGAACGUGCCCUUCGCUUCGGAAUAGCCCCGGGAAACUGGGAGUAAUACCGAAUACGCCGUAUUGGGAAAGAUUUAUCGGCGAAGGAUCGGCCCGCGUUAGAUUAGCUAGUUGGCGGUGUAAUGGACCACCAAGGCUACGAUCUAUAGCUGGUCUGAGAGGAUGAUCAGCCACACUGGGACUGAGACACGACCCAGACUCCUACGGGAGGCAGCAGUGGGGAAUCUUGGAAAAUGGGCGCAAGCCUGAUCCAGCCAUGCCGCGUGAGUGAAGAAGGCGUUAGGGUUGUAAAACUCUUUCGCCGGAGAAGAUAAUGACGGUAUCCGGAGAAGAAGCCCCGGCUAACUUCGUGCCAGCCGCCGCCGUAAAAC
rnacentral:rRNA from 1 species